UAAAGUAAAAGUAAAAAGUAAAAAGUAAAAAGAAAAAUAAAACCCUAAUAACUCUCUUUUUAAUUAAUCAAUAAUUAUGGCGGAGGAGCAGGCGGCAGUUGUUGCGGCGAUAAAGGAGGAGAAAUUUACCGGCAUGGUGGUUUGAUCCAGCUAUGUGGCUGUUUCAAUAGCGGAAAUCCUGGCCACAUAGCUAGGGAUUGAAAGAAUAACAGUAGUAAGAAUUACCAUUACAAUAAUAAUAACAAUCGCAGGCAGCGGUGGUGAUUUUGGUUGCUAUAAGUUGUAAAAGUCAAGCAACUGCAAUUGAGAUGGGUUUGGGAAUUGGCCCAGAAAAAUUGUUGUCUGACAACAUUUUUCCAAAUGGGUCUCUUAAUAAUUUCCUUUUCACCACAGAAGAAUAGUCAGGAAGAUUGUUGAAUUGGGAGAAGAGGUUUAACAUUACCCUUGGAACUGCAAGAGGAAGCACAAAAAGUAGGCUGUUUGAUAACCUCUAAUGCAUCUCAAAACGACGCAGUAUUAAGAGAAUAGACAUUAUAAUAGAAGGGAGGGGAAGGGGCCUCCAGAGUGAAAAAAAGUGAGAGAAUUAACAGAAGAAAGAAACGAGAGAUGGCAGUAACGGAUGCAAUUGAAGAACCAUCCCCUUCUUCUAAUUUCAGCCAACCACCACCGCGUCACUUCUACGUGACUGUCGUCGACAGACUCCACUUCAAAAUGGACACGUUGGUCCAUUUAUUAGGAGUUGCUGCCCGCCGCCCUGCCCUACCCAUUGUGGUUUGUUGCACUUCUCGCGAUCAACUCGACGCCGUCUGCUCCGCCGUCUCCAACCUCCCCUUCAUUUCUCUUGCCUCUCUGUACAGUGACCUAGCUGAAUCGGACCGAAAUGUAAUUUUAGAGGAAUUUAGGAAAGCAACAGUGAGGUGGAGCCAAAUUGUAAAUGCUGGUCAAUCAGCCGGCGGCGGCAGCGGUGGUGAAACUGGAAAUAAUAAUGAUGAAAGUAAUACUAACAAUAAUAAGACUAAAUCACAUAUGAUAGUUGUAACAGAUGCCUGCCUUCCGCUUCUUGCGCUGGGCGAAGCGCCGGUUUCCGCUCGUGUUCUGAUUAAUUAUGAAUUGCCAUCAAAGGAAACAUAUUUGAGACGCAUGGCCACUUGCUUGGCUGCAGAUGGGAUUGUAAUCAAUGUAGUUGUUGGUGGUGAAGUGAUAACUCUUAAAAACAUUGAAGAAAGCAGCAGCCUUGUCAUAGCUGAAAUGCCCAUAAAUAUUUCUGAGAUUUUAUGAAGAUAGUCGAUUUUCUGCAAUCCCAAAAGAUAAAAAAAGGGGCUUGAUCUCUUGAGUCAGAUGAUCUUUAAUAUUUUCAGGGAGCGAUAUGAUAAAGAGGGAGGAGAUAUGAAUGGGAGCAACUUUAGUGAACGACAACAUGACAAACGUAGUGGUAAGCUUUCUACUACAGAUUUAAGAAAUAAAAAACUUAGCCCCAGGUAGGUCUCGGACCUGUUCCAUGUAGCCGUGCCAUCGAUAAUGACACUGUUUCUAGAAGAUGAAAAAUUAAAGAAACGAUACUUAAUAGUGAAGGGAAAAGGUUUCUGCAAUUUUGGAUCCACUUGGAUUCUUGAAAUGAUAUCCUUAUUACAAAAAAGGGAAUUAUUUACUACCACGUUUAGUUAGAAUCAUUAAGCCUAGUGAGUUUCAGAUUAUUUUGUGCCCUUUUAAGAGCAGAUAAUUAGAUUAGAUUGGAUUUAAUUCCUUGAUAUAUCUAAAACUAUGUAUAUGAUGCGUUGAACUCUGUCAUUGUCGUGGGAUUUUGUGAUUAAAGUUUUGACAAGAACUCUGUUCUCUAUCACAUUUCGAGGUAUAUUACUCAGUUUGGCAAAAUUCGA